rnacentral:rRNA from 1 species
AUUGAACGCUGGCGGCAGGCCUAACACAUGCAAGUCGAGCGGAUGAAGGGAGCUUGCUCCUGGAUUCAGCGGCGGACGGGUGGGUAAUGCCUAGGAAUCUGCCUGGUAGUGGGGGAUAACGUCCGGAAACGGGCGCUAAUACCGCAUACGUCCUGAGGGAGAAAGUGGGGGAUCUUCGGACCUCACGCUAUCAGAUGAGCCUAGGUCGGAUUAGCUAGUUGGUGGGGUAAAGGCCUACCAAGGCGACGAUCCGUAACUGGCCUGAGAGGAUGAUCAGUCACACUGGAACUGAGACACGGUCCAGACUCCUACGGGAGGCAGCAGUGGGGAAUAUUGGACAAUGGGCGAAAGCCUGAUCCAGCCAUGCCGCGUGUGUGAAGAAGGUCUUCGGAUUGUAAAGCACUUUAAGUUGGGAGGAAGGGCAGUAAGUUAAUACCUUGCUGUUUUGACGUUACCAACAGAAUAAGCACCGGCUAACUUCGUG